GGGCUUACGUUUUCACACAAACUUUGUAUGCAGUGUANAAUGUACCUUUGUUUUGCGAUCAUGCNAUUAAUACAACUUUCAACAACGGAUCUCUUGGCUCUCGCAUCGAUGAAGAACGCAGCGAAAUGCGAUACGUAAUGUGAAUUGCAGAAUUCAGUGAAUCAUCGAAUCUUUGAACGCACCUUGCGCCCCUUGGCAUUCCGAGGGGCACACCCGUUUGAGUGUCGUGAAAUUCUCAAAACCCUUUUCUUUUUGGGAGAAGGGUUUUGGACUUGGAGGCCUUUUGCUGGCUUUGCCUUG
rnacentral:misc_RNA from 1 species